ACAGAAGACUACCUCCACUUGCGUGCAGAGAAGUUUACGCAGAAUAUACUAUCAACGUUUGAUCUUUUACCAACGGAACAACGUUGUUAUUAGCAGCCGUUCCACAUCACAAUGCUUUGUUUUUUUAUGUUAACAUGCGCUAAACGGACGUGUUUGACCGUCUCUUUGCAGUGUCUCGGGCAUGGCGUAUUCUAAAAACGCGGCGUUCAAGUUAACUUUUAAAAACUUUCACGUUUUUUUUUUUUUUCGGUUUUUUUUUUUUUUUUUUGCAUUCUCUUGAGAUGCGUUUCCAUUGCUCCUUCAAUGGAAAAAAUUGCUAAACAUACAGUAUGUGUUUGACCGUUGCGUUUGCAUCUUUUUGCUCGUGCAUAAACGCAACAAAAUCUUGUUCAGUGAAGAUGAUCCCUAACAUUUGUAAAUGCAAAGUGAACUGAGAUAAGAUUAACUUAUUGGAUGACUUAAUAAGCUUCUCAUAGGACAUAGGUGGACAAAGUGGACAUGACCAUGAUGUGUUGUGAAUACAGCUCUUUAGAAGUUUGCUGUUUAUAUACAAAUAUUAAUCUACUGCUAGUAUAACUGUUCUGUACCAAUACAAACAUUUAUUUUAAACAAACUUUUGGUUAUUUUUUUCCUUUCUGUAGAUGAGAAAGCUGCAGAGAGAUGGAGCAAAUCAUACUCAUCACAUGCUACUAUUCUGGUUUAGAUGAUGGACUUUGGCUGCACUGACCAUUUCAUGAAAUCCCACUAUAAGACAUUCACAGAAAAAAGCUGUAGAGAUCCAAACUCCCACAUCGGACAAAAAAACAUUUCCGUUGCCACUGAUCCACUCUGAUUAUAAAGGUAAGUAAGUAUCAUAGACAAUCAGCAGAAGUGUGGAUCAGUGUGCAACAACAAGGACUCUGGGAGAGACACUGAGGAUGAUGGGAAUGACUCUUAAUCAUUUGACCUCUGAUCCAAAGAUCAGAAAGUUGAGGAGAAAAAAAUAACAACAUCCUGACUGUGAGAGCAUUACUUGCUUCUAUUUUGUUUUCCCAUAGAAGGUUUAGAUGAUGGACUUUGGCUGCACUGACCAUUUCAUGAAAUCCCACUAUGAGACACUCACAGAAAAAAAUCUAUAAAGAUCCAAACUCCCACAUCGGACAAAACAUUUCCGUAGCCACUGAUCCACACUGAUUAUAAAGGUAAGCAUCAUUAGGCUUGUUCGAGAUGCAUCAGCACUGCAAAGACCGAUCGGCGUAUGACGUCAAAGUAACACGUGAGCGAUUCAAACACCUAAGGAGUCAUAUGCUCUCCAAACGCUCUCGCGGUACUUUGAUGUCAUACGCCGAUUGGUCUGCGAAGCGCCGAUGCAUCUCGAACAAGCUUAUAGACAGUUAGCAAAAGUGUGCAUCAGUGUGCAACAACGUGGACUCUGGGAGCGACACUGAGGAUGAUGGGAAUGACUCUUAAUCAUUUGACCUCUGAUCCAAAGAAAAAAAUCUAUAGAGAUCCAAACUCCCACAUCGGACAAAACAUUUCCGUAGCCAAUCCACACUGAUUAUAAAGGGCAGCCAGUAUUAACGUCUUGAUCUGUGCACAGCUGAAUCAUCAGACUGG